CCUACGGGAGGCAGCAGUGGGGAAUUUUGGACAAUGGGCGCAAGCCUGAUCCAGCAAUGCCGCGUGAGUGAAGAAGGCCUUCGGGUUGUAAAGCUCUUUUGUCAGGGAAGAAACGGCUGAGGUUAAUACCUUUGGCUAAUGACGGUACCUGAAGAAUAAGCACCGGCUAACUACGUGCCAGCAGCCGCGGUAAUACGUAGGGUGCAAGCGUUAAUCGGAAUUACUGGGCGUAAAGCGUGCGCAGGCGGUUUUGUAAGUCUGUCGUGAAAGCCCCGGGCUCAACCUGGGAAUUGCGAUGGAGACUGCAAGGCUUGAAUCUGGCAGAGGGGGGUAGAAUUCCACGUGUAGCAGUGAAAUGCGUAGAGAUGUGGAGGAACACCGAUGGCGAAGGCAGCCCCCUGGGUCAAGAUUGACGCUCAUGCACGAAAGCGUGGGGAGCAAACAGGAUUAGAUACCCUGGUAGUCCACGCCCUAAACGAUGUCUACUAGUUGUCGGGUUUUAAUUAACUUGGUAACGCAGCUAACGCGUGAAGUAGACCGCCUGGGGAUACGGUCGCAAGNUUAAAACNCAAAUGAAUUGACCGGNUGAGAGNGCGAGACGACGACGAGGGAGGAGG
rnacentral:rRNA from 1 species